AUAAUAUACAUAAUCCAAUGCAAGCUGGUAUACGUUAACAAAUUAAAUUCUAGCUACUUAGCUUCAUCACCACCAUCAGGUAAUCAAAGAGCUAGCAUUGGAUUCCCCUCCAUAUAUAUAUAUAAUUGAAGGCACACAUAGUUGAUUAGCCAAUCCAAGAAACAAAAACACUAACAAGGUCGUCGUGGAUCUUGAAAAAGAUUUACGAAGAUGAGUAUGAGCUCUGCGUAUUCCGAAAGAUUGAAGUACUUAUUGAAAAGAAGAAUAAUGCAAAACCAUGAGUAUGGUACUGCUGCCAAGGAUACAGAAAUUUCUUCCACUCCUGCUCCCCAACAUGGUAAUAGUAUUCCUCCCGACAACUCAAGUUCGACUGGUACAACAAGUACAUCGGCUGAUAACAAUGCACCCAAAACCUAGCUCUUAAUCAGGCGGGAGAAUAGUCCAAAUAUUUAUAUACGUUGAGGUGCUACGUCAUUUGAUAUGAUGGAUCUAUCGGCAUUUCUCCUACGUCGCUUGGUGUCAUCAUCCAUCUACGUCGUUGUCUGUGGCGGCAUCAGCGUCCGUCGCUUGGUGGUCGUCCGUCCGUCGCUAAUUCCCUCGCUCUGUGCUGUUCUGUUCAUUCAUCACUUCCCUCGCCACCCGUCGCCGUGCCUUGCCUCGCCUUGCUGCCUGAACUGGUUAUGCAAAAACAGGCGAUGAGUUAAAGAUCGAAGGCAAGUUUGACUGAUUUGGUGAGUUGCGUGCAACAAUUGAAACCACAAAUUCGUGCAUGUUACUCGGAGAAAAUCGAGCUCACGGUAGAUGAAUUUGGUGAAGGUGAUAUUCAUAGACUGUUGUUUUGUAAUUGAGCUUUUCCUUAGACAAUAUGAGAGGACGACAGAGGAUGAUCUUAUCUUCUCAAAACGAUGGCUUUAGAAUCGGGUAAAAAAUGAUUUGAUAUUACUUGAGAAACAGGUUCCUUUGUUUGUUCUUAAGAAAAUAUACAAUCUAACUUUUGCUUCUCGCUUAGAUAUUGGUCUAUUAUUCCCUUCAUUUAUGAGGGUUGCUGUUAGUUAUUUUUCAUAUCACAACAAACAAGGAGUGUUAGUAUCGGCUAGUAGCAGUAUAGCACACUUCACUGAUCUGAUUAGAUAUUUCAUCUUACCACCAUCUCAUAAAAGACCUUCAAAGAACCGUGGACCCUUAGUCCUUGGUCAUAAUGUAUCUGAGUUGUUGAAGCAGGACUGAAGUUCCAUGUAAAUAAAUCAAGUCAUGGCUGCAUACUUGACUUAGAAGUUGAGCAUGGUAUCCUUAAAAUCCCACACAUUGUAGUGGAUGAUUUCACUGAAGUUUUGUUGAGGAACAUUGUGGCUUUGGAGCAGUGUCACUAUCUUCGGCAACACUAACAUUUUUUUUUUUACGUUUAUGGGUGAAAGCCAAGGAUAUACAAGUAAUUUUAUAAUUCACAGUCGUUUUUUUUACGUUUAACGUUAACAAGGACUAAAUUGAAAAAAAAAAAUAAUGUCUAGGGACCUAAUUAUAAAAAAAAGUAUAGGGACCUAAUUAAAAAUUCGGUGAAAUUAUAGAGACCUGCAAAGUAAUUAAACCAUAUAUAGGAUUUUUUACUUAAAUAAAUGAAACACAAAUCAAUUUUACUUGAUUCCCCUAAAAAUAAAUUUUCAAACGUGUUUUUCCUCUUCCAUAUAUUAUGUAAAUCGUCCUAGGGUGAUAAGGAUUGUAGAAUAUGUUAAACAUGGCACCUUAGGACGAUUUAUGCCUAUAUUGCAUAGGAGAAAAAUCCAUAAAUUGUGCCAGAGUAGGAGGGGUUACAGUUACACAUAAAUCGUUCCUCCCUGCCAUGAUUCAUGUGAAGUUGGGCUAAAUCACAAAGGCAUGCCACGAUUCAUGUUCGAAGAUUUAACCCUCAAGACCCAGGGACGAUUAAUGCUUGAAGAGUAACCCUAAUGUGCCUGCAACGAGUUAUUUCUUGAGGCAUUCCCUCAACACACAGCGGCGAGUUACGUUAGUGAGGGAGGAGCCACCACAUUCGGCCAGAUUUGGGAGAGAAGGGUUGGGAGGAAGGCAGGCCAAACCGGUGGAAGAGGUGGCAGUGAGCGGAGGCUUCGGGCAUUCACUGGCGACGGUGCAGCAGCGGCAAGGCCAGAUCCACCAUUGUCCGGCGUAUUAAAGCACAGAGCGGUGGGUUGUGCGGCGGAGUGGGAGGUGUCCGUCUUGGGAGAAGAAUGGCGGCUAACCACAGAGAUAUGUACUGCCUUAAUGGUAUUUCACAUGUUGCCGGAUUUAUCAACGAUGAGCCAACUCGAUGCGUUCGGAGCAUUCGUAGGCAACAAAAGAUGAUCAUGCAUGAUCGCAUACUGUUGUACUUAGAUCGUUCUAAUUUACUGCAUGUUGCGAGGUUGAAUGAUUAUUGGUUCAAGCUUGAUGAGUCGUUGAUCAGUGCAUUCGUAGAGCGAUGGCAUCCUGAGACGCACACAUUUCAUAUGCCGUUCGGAGAGUGCAUGAUAGCACUAUAGGAUGUGGCAUAUCAGUUUGGCCUCCCUAUUGACGGACAUGCGGUGAGCGGGUGUCUCAGUGACUUCGAGCUGUUGAUGGAGGGGGGAGCUUGCCUGGGUGUGGUUUUGAAACUUAUUCGGAGAACUUCCACCAGAUGAUUGUAUCGAUGACUACACGGUUUCUUUUAGCUGGUUCCAAAACAAGUUCAGAUUCUUGCUUGCCAAUGCAUUGGAGGCAACGGUACAGAUCUAUGCACGGGGUUACAUUAUGAUGUUGUUGUCCACGGCACUUUUCGCAGACAAGUCUGGUGCUAGGGUUCACUUACGGUGGAUUCCGUAUGUUGCGGACCUCGAUGGGCUCGGAAAGUAUAGCUGGGGUUCGGCCACCUUGUCCUGGUUGUAUAGGUGUUUGUGCAGGGUUGCUAACCGAAAUGUAAAGAACCUAGCUGGGCCAUUAGCACUGCUUCAAUCUUGGAUUUUUUGACGUUUUCCGACGUUCAGGCCUAGAGGGUUUGAUGCCAUUCUAUGACCACUUGCCGCGAGGUCGGGUAGGUUUCUGCCGUCGUCAGACCAUGAAGAUCCCCGGGUCAUUGCAACCCGACACAGAUUAGACAGGAUGAGUGGGGAUGAUUUCAUUUAGAUGCCAUACAACAGUCUUGAGGUUAUCCAAGUAGUCCAUCCUGAUAUCCUCAGGCUUGACCACUGAUAUGCCACUAUUUUAUGAUAUAAUUUGGAUUGAAUUGAGUGGGUUUUGUCAACUAUCCUCACACUAAUUCAUGUAAAUUGCAUGUUUUUAAGUUUCCUUCCUAAUUUUGUGAUAUGAUUGAAAACUUGCUUCCUAGGCCUUAAAAUUGUUAAUUUUUAAUUCUCUUUUAUUACCAUUCGAUGUCGUGAUGUGUUUGUUAAGUGUUUUCAGGUUUACAGGGCAUGAAUGGCUUAAAGGGUGAAGAUGAAGCAUGUUAAAGUGGAAGGAACACAAGAAACUAAAGAGUUGUGGAAGCGAGGAGCAACGCGCAUGCAUGGCCGAUGCGUGCACGUGAUCAAGAGCUUCGUUCAGCAACGCGUAUGUGUGAUUGACGUGUACACAUGACCAGUGUAGAAGUUCAGCGACGCGUCCGCAUGACAGAGCGUCACGUGCUACACUUAACAGAACUCGCUGGGGGCAAUUUCUGGGCUGAUUUGGACUCAGAUCCAAGCUCAAAAACACAGACUAGAGGCAGGGAUGGAGCUGAGACUGGGGGACUUCAAUUUCACUUUAGUUUUUGAUUAGUUUUUGAAGUUUAGAGAGAAAAACACCUACUUUUCUCUAGAGUUUUUUAUGUUCUUAGUUUUGCUUUGAAUUGGAUCUGGAGAGAGCUGUUACUACCUUCCAUUAGAGUCAUUGUUCUCAUAGUUUUCUUCUCUAUUAUCCCUAUUACUCUUAUACACUUGAUUGCUUUGAAUUCAUAUUUGGAUUUUGUCAUUUUUUAAUUUUAUUAAUGCACUGAAUUAUUUUUAUGUU